CCAUAACAAUCGACCACGCUGUUUCUUACAAACCAAAAGCCAAUGGCUUCGUCUCUGAGCACAGCCGCCAUUUCUUCUCGAAUCUUCGCUGCUUCUUCUUCUUCCUCCACUUCUCUCCUUUCUCUCCUCCGCUCUACUCCUUCUCUUUCUUUCUCUUACUCUUUCAGAUCCCUCGCCUUCUCUUCUCAUUUCUCUCCUCUCCUGAGAAGAUCGACUGCCAGUGUUCGAAGUAGCGGAAGGUUCAGCACUGUAGCAAGUCCGAGAUGCGCUGCUUCGGAUCCUAAUCAGUUGAAGAGUGCUAGAGAAGAUAUCAAGGAACUUCUCAAAUCUAAGUUUUGCCAUCCUAUCCUGGUUCGUCUUGGAUGGCACGAUGCUGGUACCUACAACAAGAACAUUGAAGCAUGGCCUCAAAGGGGUGGAGCGAAUGGAAGUCUUAGGUUUGAAGUUGAGCUGAAACAUGCAGCCAACGCUGGUCUUGUGAAUGCACUGAAUCUUAUUCAGCCUAUCAAGGACAAGUACUCUGGUGUAACUUAUGCAGAUUUGUUCCAGUUGGCUAGUGCUACUGCUAUUGAGGAGGCUGGAGGGCCCAAAAUUCCCAUGAAAUACGGAAGAGUGGAUGUAUCUGCUCCUAAUGAGUGUCCUGAAGAGGGCAGGUUACCUGAUGCUGGACCCCCUUCGCCUGCUGAUCAUUUACGGGGGGUUUUCUACCGAAUGGGAUUAAAUGACAAGGAAAUUGUUGCAUUAUCUGGGGCACAUACACUUGGGAGGUCCAGACCAGAACGUAGCGGUUGGGGUAAACCCGAGACCAAGUAUACGAAAGAUGGACCAGGAGCACCUGGAGGACAGUCCUGGACAGUGCAAUGGUUGAAGUUUGACAAUUCAUACUUCAAGGACAUUAAAGCAAAAAGGGAUGAAGAUUUGCUUGUGUUGCCAACAGAUUCUGUUAUUUUUGAAGACCCCUCUUUCAAGGUGUAUGCUGAGAAAUACGCUGAAGAUCAAGAAACAUUCUUCAAGGAUUAUGCAGAAGCUCAUGCUAAACUUAGCAACCUUGGGGCCAAAUUUGACCCUCCAGAGGGUAUUGUGUUAGAUUGAUGCUCUAACACAAGUGACAUCAAAGAACUUUGUGGCUCCCGAGUACCCUCGUAAAGGAUGAAAAAAACAAGUUGAACCACGUCAUAAAAUAAAUACAAGCUCACAUCUUAAACUAGGAAGUCCAGAGGAAAGAA